rnacentral:lncRNA from 1 species
CGAUCGUGUGGUGAGGGAUGUCCAAAUCCUUUGUCACAAUCGACGGUUGCGAUUGGUCCAUUCUUUCUUGAUGAUUCGAUAUUUGACUCUCUUGAUAUAUAUAUUUACGGGGCUAUAUACAUAUCAGGUUAUAUAGAAAAUGAACGACGAUCGAAUGAAUUAUACGGCAUGGAUUAGGAGUGAAGGUUCGGCAAGCUAUCACCUAUAUAUUCCAAUUCAAGAAAAGGGAUGAAGCAGCCAUGUUUGAUAAUAUAUACUAAAUAAAACAACAAGUUGAUAAACGAGGCAAGUUGUUAACUUAUGCAGAAUUUGCCGAAAUGGGUUGACUUUCGGGAUCACAAACUAUAUAUAUAUAUAUAUAUAUAUAUAUAUAUAUAU